UACAGAGGUCCCAAGCGUUGUUCGGAUUCACUGGGCGUAAAGGGUGCGUAGGUGGUGAGGUAAGUCGGAUGUGAAAUCUCCGAGCUCAACUCGGAAAUGGCAUUGGAAACUACCUUGCUCGAGGGUUGGAGGGGGGACUGGAAUGCUUGGUGUAGCAGUGAAAUGCGCAGAUAUCAGGAGGAACACCGGUGGCGAAGGCGGGUCUCUGGGCCGUAACUGACGCUGAGGAGCGAAAGCGUGGGGAGCGAACAGG
rnacentral:rRNA from 1 species